rnacentral:rRNA from 1 species
UACAGAGGGUGCGAGCGUUAAUCGGAUUUACUGGGCGUAAAGGGCGCGUAGGCGGUUAUAUGAGUGUGAUGUGAAAGCCCCGGGCUUAACCUGGGAAGUGCAUUGCAAACGAUAUAACUGGAGUAGAUGAGAGGGUGAUGGAAUUUCCGGUGUAGCGGUGAAAUGCGUAGAGAUCGGAAGGAACGUCAAUGGCGAAGGCAGUCACCUGGCAUCAUACUGACGCUGAGGCGCGAAAGCGUGGGUAGCGAACAGG